GUAACGGCCGCGGCACGGUAAACCCCACCGGGAGCAAGACCGAAUAGGGGCGGUCGGGAGUGCGCGUUCCUCGGAGCGUGUGGCUUCAGGCCCGUUUCCAGGCCAACCGCCCGGGUUGGUUGCUCGAGGUGUCCGGCAACGGGCAUCCCAGAUGAAUGGCCGUCGCGGAAGCAGCGUGGCCGGCACUCGGCUCGCCGGUGUCGGGCUGGUUUCCAGACAGAACCCGGCUUACAGGCCGGCUGGUAAU
rnacentral:RNase_P_RNA from 1 species